ensembl:lncRNA
CUGCUCUUACCACUAGGCUACCUGCUCUAACCACUAGGCUACCUGCUCUAACCACUAGGCUACCUGCUCUAACCACUAGGCUACCUGCUCUAACCAGUAGGCUACCUGCUCUAACCACUAGGCUACCUGCUCUAACCACUAGGCUACCUGCUCUAACCACUAGGCUACCUGCUCUAACCACUAGGCUACCUGCUCUAACCACUAACCACUAGGCUACCUGCUCUAACCACUAGGCUACCUGCUCUAACCACUAACCACUAGGCUACCUGCUCUAACCACUAACCACUAGGCUACCUGCUCUAACCACUAACCACUAGGCUACCUGCUCUAACCACUAACCACUAGGCUACCUGCUCUAACCACUAACCACUAGGCUACCUGCUCUAACCACUAACCACUAGGCUACCUGCUCUAACCACUAGGCUACCUGCUCUAACCACUAACCACUAGGCUACCUGCCGCCCCAGUAUCCACCUCUGUGUUGAUGAGUGUUUGGGUUGAGAUAUGUGCUCUACAACCCAGUUCUACCCAGCGCUCUCCCUGGUAACCUGCCAUUGACACUGUAAUUGUAUCUUGUAACACUGACAAAUACCUGAUGUAUUGGACAACUUAUUCAAGGAGGGAAAUCUCUUAUUCAAAAAGAGUAAAGCCAGAUCAGAGCAGAGGCUUCUGUUUCACAUGCUAGCACAGUACUCAUCAAGGCUAUGUUUAUUGAAUCUCAAAAUAACAAGGCACUCACACUGCAAAAAAAAAAUAGCUUACAAAAUUCGCAUGAACAAUUCAGAUGAAAUGUACUUCAUGUAUUUAUGUUCACAUACAGUCAGUAGGCCGACCUACAUUCACCGUGCAUUGAGAUGUUUCUAUGUGUAUUUAUGUUCCCAUACAGUCAGUAGGCCGACCUACAUUCACCGUGCAUUGAGAUGUUUCUAUGUGUAUUUAUGUUCCCAUACAGUCAGUAGGCCGACCUACAUUCACCGUGCAUUGAGAUGUUUCUAUGUGUAUUUAUGUUCCCAUACAGUCAGUAGGCCGACCUACAUUCACCGUGCAUUGAGAUGUUUCUAUGUGUAUUUAUGUUCACAUACAUCUGACAUACACUGAGCGGACAAAACAUUAGGAACACCCUCUUCCUGAUAAUGAGUUGCACCUCCCCCUUUUGCCCUCAGAACAGCUUCAGAUGUUUGUGCAUGGACCCUACAAAGUGUCGAAAGUGUUCUACAGGGAUGCUGACCCAUUUCACACUUUAGCAAACGCUCUUAUCCAGAGCGACUUGAGUUAAGUGCCUUGCUCAAGGGCACAUCGACAGAUUUUUCCCCCCUAAUAUAAUAAUUCUAAAUACUUUACCAGAGAGCUAAACUUAGCAUCAUAAGCGGCAGGUAGCCUGGGGGGUAGAGCGUUGGACUAGUAACCGAAAAGUUGAUAGAUCGAAUCCCCAGAGCUGAAAAGGUAAACUGUUGUUCUGUUGUCUGUUGUUCUGCCCCUGAACAAGGCAGUUAACCCACUGUUCAUAGGCCGUCAUUGUAAAUAAGAUUUUGUUCUUAACUAGUUAAAUAAAAAUAGCUAUGGAUUGUUUGCCUAUUCCUAUUUGGGAAACCAGCCAUUUUGGGCAGCGUGCAUGGCAAUAGACCUCGCUGAUUAUUGAGUUGUGGCUGUCAGUGAAAAACAUCUCAAAUGUGUGAAGAUAAUGUGUCUCGAGACUAAUUUAAAAAUGUUGCAACAAGAAGUAGGGGAGGGAUGUGUCGCGAAGAUAUGGGCGUCUCUCUCCAGAAUGCAUGCUCUCAGCUCUACAGAAUGCAUGCUCUCAGCUCUCCAGAAUGCAUGCUCUCAGCUCUACAGAAUGCAUGCUCUCAGCUCUCCAGAAUGCAUGCUCUCAGCUCUCCAGAAUGCAUGCUCUCAGCUCUACAGAAUGCAUGCUCUCAGCUCUACAGAAUGCAUGCUCUCAGCUCUACAGAAUGCAUGCUCUCAGCUCUACAGAAUGCAUGCUCUCAGCUCUACAGAAUGCAUGCUCUCAGCUCUCCAGAAUGCAUGCUCUCAGCUCUCCAGAAUGCAUGCUCUCAGCUCUACAGAAUGCAUGCUCUCAGCUCUCCAGAAUGCAUGCUCUCAGCUCUACA